UGCUUAACACAUGCAAGUCGAACGGAAAGGCCCUGCUUUUGUGGGGUGCUCGAGUGGCGAACGGGUGAGUAACACGUGAGUAACCUGCCCUUGACUUUGGGAUAACUUCAGGAAACUGGGGCUAAUACCGGAUAGGAGCUCCUGCUGCAUGGUGGGGGUUGGAAAGUUUCGGCGGUUGGGGAUGGACUCGCGGCUUAUCAGCUUGUUGGUGGGGUAGUGGCUUACCAAGGCUUUGACGGGUAGCCGGCCUGAGAGGGUGACCGGCCACAUUGGGACUGAGAUACGGCCCAGACUCCUACGGGAGGCAGCAGUGGGGAAUAUUGCACAAUGGGCGGAAGCCUGAUGCAGCAACGCCGCGUGCGGGAUGACGGCCUUCGGGUUGUAAACCGCUUUCGCCUGUGACGAAGCGUGAGUGACGGUAAUGGGUAAAGAAGCACCGGCUAACUACGUGCCAGCAGCCGCGGUGAUACGUAGGGUGCGAGCGUUGUCCGGAUUUAUUGGGCGUAAAGGGCUCGUAGGUGGUUGAUCGCGUCGGAAGUGUAAUCUUGGGGCUUAACCCUGAGCGUGCUUUCGAUACGGGUUGACUUGAGGAAGGUAGGGGAGAAUGGAAUNCCUGGUGGAGCGGUGGAAUGCGCAGAUAUCAGGAGGAACACCAGUGGCGAAGGCGGUUCUCUGGGCCUUUCCUGACGCUGAGGAGCGAAAGCGUGGGGAGCGAACAGGCUUAGAUACCCUGGUAGUCCACGCUGUAAACNGNUGGGUACUAGGUGUGGGGUCCAUUCCACGGGUUCCGUGCCGUAGCUAACGCUUUAAGUACCCCGCCUGGGGAGUACGGCCGCAAGGCUAAAACUCAAAGGAAUUGACGGGGCCCCGCACAAGCGGCGGAGCAUGCGGAUUAAUUCGAUGCAACGCGUAGAACCUUACCUGGGUUUGACAUGGAUCGGGAGUGCUCAGAGAUGGGUGUGCCUCUUUUGGGGUCGGUUCACAGGUGGUGCAUGGCUGUCGUCAGCUCGUGUCGUGAGAUGUUGGGUUAAGUCCCGCAACGAGCGCAACCCUUGUUCACUGUUGCCAGCACGUUAUGGUGGGGACUCAGUGGAGACCGCCGGGGUCAACUCGGAGGAAGGUGGGGAUGACGUCAAGUCAUCAUGCCCCUUAUGUCCAGGGCUUCACGCAUGCUACAAUGGCUGGUACAGAGAGUGGCGAGCCUGUGAGGGUGAGCGAAUCUCGGAAAGCCGGUCUCAGUUCGGAUUGGGGUCUGCAACUCGACCUCAUGAAGUCGGAGUCGCUAGUAAUCGCAGAUCAGCAACGCUGCGGUGAAUACGUUCCCGGGGCUUGUACACACCGCCCGUCAAGUCAUGAAAGUUGGUAACACCCGAAGCCGGUGGCCUAACCGUUGUGGGGGAGCCGUCGAAGGUGGGACUGGUGAU
rnacentral:rRNA from 1 species